rnacentral:lncRNA from 1 species
ACACUGAAGUGAGCCAUACACAACCACCCAACGAAUGUUUUUGAGUUUAGUGUGCUUGCCUAAAAUGUAUAAAGUGCACUAGAAAAUUUUCAGCUACAACCUGAACAUUGCUGUGAUGCAUUUGUGUAGCAGUUUAAAGGCAUACAUCUGAAGGACUAUGCUUCAGAUUCUAAUGAUCCUGUAAACUGGAUACCUUUAACCUGAAUUUGAAUCACUGGUUAUUGACUGUUCCUAAUGAGGCUGAAAUAGUUUUAACAAGGAGAUUUGUUUCAAAAAUGUCAUAGUUCAUAAAAGCAAAAGUUAUACAUUAGGGUUAUUUCAUGUUUUCCUGAUUUUUAUAUAUGUAUUCUUGCCAUUUAACCUCUUUAACAGCCUGAGCAGAGAGUUUAACAAUGAAGCUGGGGCUCUAAACUUAAAAUAUGUAUAUAUGUAAAUGUGUGUAUGUAUAAACUUCUAUCAUUUGCCAAACUUGGGCACCAAAACUUUGAGAUAAAGAAUAAAAAAAAAUAGCA